UACAGAGGGGGCAAGCGUUGUUCGGAAUUACUGGGCGUAAAGGGCGCGUAGGCGGCCUGCUAAGUCGAACGUGAAAUCCCUGGGCUCAACCCAGGAACUGCGUCCGAUACUGGUUGGCUUGAAUCCGGGAGAGGGAUGUGGAAUUCCAGGUGUAGCGGUGGAAUGCGCAGAUAUCAGGAGGAACACCGGUGGCGAAGGCGGUUCUCUGGGCAUUACCUGACGCUGAGGAGCGAAAGCAUGGGGAGCGAACAGG
rnacentral:rRNA from 1 species